GGGACACGUGGUAUCCUGUCUGAAUAUGGGGGGACCAUCCUCCAAGGCUAAAUACUCCUGACUGACCGAUAGUGAACCAGUACCGUGAGGGAAAGGCGAAAAGAACCCCGGCGAGGGGAGUGAAAAAGAACCUGAAACCGUGUACGUACAAGCAGUGGGAGCACGCUUAGGCGUGUGACUGCGUACCUUUUGUAUAAUGGGUCAGCGACUUAUAUUCUGUAGCAAGGUUAACCGAAUAGGGGAGCCGAAGGGAAACCGAGUCUUAACUGGGCGUUAAGUUGCAGGGUAUAGACCCGAAACCCGGUGAUCUAGCCAUGGGCAGGUUGAAGGUUGGGUAACACUAACUGGAGGACCGAACCGACUAAUGUUGAAAAAUUAGCGGAUGACUUGUGGCUGGGGGUGAAAGGCCAAUCAAACCGGGAGAUAGCUGGUUCUCCCCGAAAGCUAUUUAGGUAGCGCCUCGUGAAUUCAUCUCCGGGGGUAGAGCACUGUUUCGGCAAGGGGGUCAUCCCGACUUACCAACCCGAUGCAAACUGCGAAUACCGGAGAAUGUUAUCACGGGAGACACACGGCGGGUGCUAACGUCCGUCGUGAAGAGGGAAACAACCCAGACCGCCAGCUAAGGUCCCAAAGUCAUGGUUAAGUGGGAAACGAUGUGGGAAGGCCCAGACAGCCAGGAUGUUGGCUUAGAAGCAGCCAUCAUUUAAAGAAAGCGUAAUAGCUCACUGGUCGAGUCGGCCUGCGCGGAAGAUGUAACGGGGCUAAACCAUGCACCGAAGCUGCGGCAGCGACGCUUAUGCGUUGUUGGGUAGGGGAGCGUUCUGUAAGCCUGUGAAGGUGUGCUGUGAGGCAUGCUGGAGGUAUCAGAAGUGCGAAUGCUGACAUAAGUAACGAUAAAGCGGGUGAAAAGCCCGCUCGCCGGAAGACCAAGGGUUCCUGUCCAACGUUAAUCGGGGCAGGGUGAGUCGACCCCUAAGGCGAGGCCGAAAGGCGUAGUCGAUGGGAAACAGGUUAAUAUUCCUGUACUUGGUGUUACUGCGAAGGGGGGACGGAGAAGGCUAUGUUGGCCGGGCGACGGUUGUCCCGGUUUAAGCGUGUAGGCUGGUUUUCCAGGCAAAUCCGGAAAAUCAAGGCUGAGGCGUGAUGACGAGGCACUACGGUGCUGAAGCAACAAAUGCCCUGCUUCCAGGAAAAGCCUCUAAGCAUCAGGUAACAUCAAAUCGUACCCCAAACCGACACAGGUGGUCAGGUAGAGAAUACCAAGGCGCUUGAGAGAACUCGGGUGAAGGAACUAGGCAAAAUGGUGCCGUAACUUCGGGAGAAGGCACGCUGAUAUGUAGGUGAAGUCCCUCGCGGAUGGAGCUGAAAUCAGUCGAAGAUACCAGCUGGCUGCAACUGUUUAUUAAAAACACAGCACUGUGCAAACACGAAAGUGGACGUAUACGGUGUGACGCCUGCCCGGUGCCGGAAGGUUAAUUGAUGGGGUCAGCGCAAGCGAAGCUCUUGAUCGAAGCCCCGGUAAACGGCGGCCGUAACUAUAACGGUCCUAAGGUAGCGAAAUUCCUUGUCGGGUAAGUUCCGACCUGCACGAAUGGCGUAAUGAUGGCCAGGCUGUCUCCACCCGAGACUCAGUGAAAUUGAACUCGCUGUGAAGAUGCAGUGUACCCGCGGCAAGACGGAAAGACCCCGUGAACCUUUACUAUAGCUUGACACUGAACAUUGAGCCUUGAUGUGUAGGAUAGGUGGGAGGCUUUGAAGUGUGGACGCCAGUCUGCAUGGAGCCGACCUUGAAAUACCACCCUUUAAUGUUUGAUGUUCUAACGUUGACCCGUAAUCCGGGUUGCGGACAGUGUCUGGUGGGUAGUUUGACUGGGGCGGUCUCCUCCUAAAGAGUAACGGAGGAGCACGAAGGUUGGCUAAUCCUGGUCGGACAUCAGGAGGUUAGUGCAAUGGCAUAAGCCAGCUUGACUGCGAGCGUGACGGCGCGAGCAGGUGCGAAAGCAGGUCAUAGUGAUCCGGUGGUUCUGAAUGGAAGGGCCAUCGCUCAACGGAUAAAAGGUACUCCGGGGAUAACAGGCUGAUACCGCCCAAGAGUUCAUAUCGACGGCGGUGUUUGGCACCUCGAUGUCGGCUCAUCACAUCCUGGGGCUGAAGUAGGUCCCAAGGGUAUGGCUGUUCGCCAUUUAAAGUGGUACGCGAGCUGGGUUUAGAACGUCGUGAGACAGUUCGGUCCCUAUCUGCCGUGGGCGCUGGAGAACUGAGGGGGGCUGCUCCUAGUACGAGAGGACCGGAGUGGACGCAUCACUGGUGUUCGGGUUGUCAUGCCAAUGGCACUGCCCGGUAGCUAAAUGCGGAAGAGAUAAGUGCUGAAAGCAUCUAAGCACGAAACUUGCC
rnacentral:rRNA from 1 species